CACGUUGAAAAACCAGCUCCCGUACGAUCACCGAAGUUAAGCAACGUCGACCUUGGUCAGUACCUAGAUGGGUAACCGCUUUGGAAUACCAGGUGCUGUAAG
rnacentral:rRNA from 1 species